rnacentral:rRNA from 1 species
GCCGAAAGGUUGUAAAAUCCUUUUAAGCCUGAUGAAUAAGUACAAUAGGGAAUGAUUGUGCGGUGACCGUAGGGCUUGAAUAAGCACCGGCUAAUUACGUGCCAGCAGCCGCGGUAACACGUAAGGUGCGAGCGUUGUUCGGAAUUAUUGGGCGUAAAGGGCAUGUAGGCGGAUAGGCAAGCUUGGUGUGAAAUGUUACAGCUUAACUGUGAGACAGCAUUGAGAACUGCAGAUCUUGAAUUACUGAAGGGUAACCAGAAUUCCACGUGUAGGGGUGAAAUCUGUAGAUAUGUGGAAGAAUACCAAUGGCGAAGGCAGGUUACCGGCAGAUAAUUGACGCUGAGGUGCGAAAGUGCGGGGAGCGAACAGGAUUAGAUACCCUGGUAGUCCGCACCGUAAACGAUGUACACUAGGUGUCUGGCAUAACAGCUGGGUGCCAAAGCAAACGUGAUAAGUGUACCGCCUGGGGAGUAUGCCCGCAAGGGUGAAACUCAAAGGAAUUGACGGGGGCCCGCACAAG